rnacentral:rRNA from 1 species
GCCUAGCUUGCACCCAGCCGUCUUUAUAGAGGGAGCAGUGGGGGAAAAAGAGGGAGCAGAGAAGGGUAGGGCGACGAGAAGAGGUACGGCGGCGGCGACGAAGGGGGAAGGAGAGCCGGCGGACAGAGGGGGCGGAGGUGGUGGAAGAGGGGAGGACGGAGGAGUGGGUUGGACGCGUCGGUAUGAUCGUGUCGGUCUGAUACGCUACACCUGCUCCUUCCCUGUCUAGCCCUCCGCCCGUUCUCCUUGGUCCGCCAAGAGGAAGGUACCGGUCCGGAGCUGGACGGCGUAGAAGGAGGAGGGUCAGGCCGUCUCUCCUCACCGCCUAGGCGGAGGAGUUCGCUCGUCCCCGCGUGUCCCUAAACUAGGUCCCUAGAGGAACGCUCUCCGGCGGUGUCAUGGCUGAGGUUGGAUGUCGGCCAAGGUUGAGUCCAGACUACGUUAAAACCUUGACUUACCAAUAAGCCAGACUGAACAAGUACAUCAAGUACCGUGAUACAGCCGUUCGAUGUAGAACACUUCUAAACCGAUGGCGUAAUAUACCACCACAAAGUGAAGGGAGUCAGUUCCUAAGAGACCUCAUAACUGUUAACGUCCGAAGUAGUUAGUCUUGUACACAUCUCCAAGUCUCUCAUCGUGUGAGGGAGUGCCGACCUGUUCCGUCUCUACACAGCUCCUAGGCGUGUGUGAAGUAGCAGUAGAAGAGGCGGAGUUGAAGGAACUGUUGUGGACCGGAGUUCGAGGUAGGUAUCGUCUAACGGGGGUUCAUAGAUUCGGGGUAAUGGGAAGAAGGAAGGAUAAUAAAUAGUGUACAUAGGUACGGGUCCGAUUACGUGUGGUCGUCGGAACAUUUUACAGACCUACUAGAAACAAAACAUCUUACACACGACGAUAUUAAUCCGGUACACUUUAAUAUCCAUAUGAAAGAACUCGACGACGUCUAGGAAAAUUGUCGCUUCUAUAAAUGCCGUCGGAUGAGGUACAUCUAAAAUGUCGCUUUUUGACUUCUUGAACACUACCGGUGUUUCUCUGACUUUAUAAACGUGCUUCGCUUCUGUAGGUGGGCCAUAUGUAUACCUACUGGGAACAGGACCUGGGAGCCCGACACCAUUUUCUUGGGAAAACGACCGUAAAAGAGAGUUCCGUGAUAACUGGUAAGACCCGAGGAGCGUUUAUAACUUUCGUUUUCUUCUCAGUGAUUCAGCUUUUCUAUAAUACCUGUACUAUUUAUUUACCAAACAACGAACACUACUUCUCCGAAACGAACUUCUUAUAUUGGUCCUGAGCUUCUCCAUAUCAAGACCUUCCCUACGAGUACAUUUGGAAUUUUCUCGUCUUUUCCGUACCUAAAACCAGUGAUUUUAAGGUUCAUCCAAAAUCAAGGUUACGACCUCUUGAUAAGUACAUAAAGUCAACGUUCUGGGUAUAAAAAAGGUCGAUACCACCCGUUGGAUUAUUUGGCAUGGUAAAGAACCCUUUUACGUUCUUUAUUCGGUAAGGAUAUACUACCCCUAAGUAGAUACUUCGGACUCUUCAUCAGAUAAAGAUAGUACACCGUCUUCUUAGUUCGCACUAUUAUCCCUCUUCCCAUUGUGAGAAGAGAGCUACUGGUGUUCCAAUCUUAGGGUUGUUUCCACGAAGACCUACUAUACUACACCGUUGAGGUCAAAGAUUUACAUCAAAUGAGUUGGGCGUUUCUUUCUUGCCAACCGGAGCUGCGUUGUCAACUCAAGAUAAGUGAACCAGUGUUCGUAGUGAACCCAAAUCUAUACUCGAGUUACUGUACCUUCUGUAUUUGAUGCUGUUCCGUGUUGAUCGAGUUGUUUUUACGGUCUGGGAUCUCGUAGUUGUUUUUCUUUUCCUUUCUUAUUAGUUGAUAAAAUCGUUAUCAACACGUUAUCGGAGUAACCUCUAGCGUACCGUCGUUUCCUUGAAAUGGCGUAUCUAUGUUUGAAGUAUCGACCGAGUUGUAGCUUUCUAUUGUUAGAGUUAGUACAAAUAGUGUCCAUUUUAUACAACGACCGGCAGAAUCGACAUGUUGUUGUCAGACUUAUACUAGAGAUCGUUUGUUUGGUGAUAAUAACCUCUGACUGCUACUGUAGCUUCCUUAAAGACUAGAUAGACAGAUGGUACUUCUUAUCGUCGAUACUUCUCAACGGAGUCUCUUAGCAAGAUUUACAGGUCGCUAUCUAGAUAGAUAGCAUAGAGACGGAUAGGCGUACGGAACGCGUAUUGAACAUUUACUAGCAAGCAGUCGAAGAAACCUUUGUACAUAGUAGUGCUUGGUACAUAGAUAGUAGUUAGGUAUGAAUAAAAAUAUACAA